UAGGGAAUCUUUCGCAAUGGACGCAAGUCUGACGGAGCAACGCCGCGUGAGUGAAGAAGGAUUUCGGUUCGUAAAACUCUGUUGUUAGAGAAGAACAGCGCAUAGAGUAACUGUUAUGCGUGUGACGGUAUCUAACCAGAAAGCCACGGCUAACUACGUGCCAGCAGCCGCGGUAAUACGUAGGUGGCAAGCGUUGUCCGGAUUUAUUGGGCGUAAAGCGGGCGCAGGCGGUCAAUUAAGUCUGAUGUGAAAGCCCCCGGCUCAACCGGGGAGGGUCAUUGGAAACUGGUUGACUUGAGUGCAGAAGAGGAGAGGGGAAUUCCAUGUGUAGCGGUGAAAUGCGUAGAUAUAUGGAGAAACACCAGUGGCGAAGGCGACUCUCUGGUCUGUAACUGACGCUGAGGUUCGAAAGCGUGGGUAGCAAACAGG
rnacentral:rRNA from 1 species